rnacentral:rRNA from 1 species
GGACCCGAAAAGAGGUGAAUACCCCCCUGACUUAAGCAAUCAAUAAGCGGAGGAAAAGAAACCAACAGGGAUUGCCGUCAGUAACGGCGAGUCGAAGCGGCAACAAGCGUGCAAAUGUGAAAAUCUGGCCCCCUCGGGGUCCGAGUUGUAAUUUGUAGAGGGUGCUUCGGUGGAAGCCCCGGCCCAAGUCCCUUGGAACAGGACGUCAGAGAGGGUGAGAACCCCGUGUCCGGCCGGCGGCGCUCCCCGCGUGAAGCCCCUUCGACGAGUCGAGUUGUUUGGGAAUGCAGCUCUAAAUUGGUGGUAAAUUCCAUCUAAAGCUAAAUACCGGCCACGAGACCGAUAGCGCACAAGUAGAGUGAUCGAAAGAUGAAACGCACUUUGGAAAGAGAGUCAAAAAGUACGUGAAAUUGUUGAAAGGGAAGCGCUUGCGGCCAGACUCGCCCGGCGGAUGUCACCCGCCUUCUGGCGGGUGCACUCUUCCCGGUCGGGCCAGCAUCGGUUCGGGCGGCCGGACAAAGGCCCGGGGAACGUGGCCCCCUUCGGGGGGUGUUAUAGCCCGGGUGCAAUGCGGCCAGCCGGGACCGAGGAUCGCGCUCUGCUAGGAUGCUGGCGUAAUGGCCGUAAGCGGCCCGUCUUGAAACACGGGACCAAAGGAGUCUAACAUCUAUGCGAGUGUUUGGGUGUCAAACCCGUGCGCGUAAUGAAAGUGAACGGAGGUGGGAACCUUAGGGUGCACCAUCGACCGAUCCUGAUGUCUUCGGAAGGAUUUGAGUAAGAGCAUAGCUGUUGGGACCCGAAAGAUGGUGAACUAUGCCUAGAUAGGGUGAAGCCAGAGGAAACUCUGGUGGAGGCUCGCAGCGGUUCUGACGUGCAAAUCGAUCGUCAAAUCUGGGUAUAGGGGCGAAAGACUAAUCGAACCAUUUAGUAGCUGGUUCCUGCCGAAGUUUCCCUCAGGAUAGCAGUAACGUUUUCAGUUUUAUGAGGUAAAGCGAAUGAUUAGCGAGCUGGGGCGUUGACAACAACCUUCAUCGAUUCUCAAACUGUCUAAAUAUGUAAGAAGUCCUUGUUACUUAGUUGAACGUGGACACUCGAAUGUAUCGUUACUAGUGGGCCAUUUUUGGUAAGCAGAACUGGCGAUGCGGGAUGAACCGAACGCGUGGUUAAGGUGCCGGAAUGCACGCUCAUCAGACACCACAAAAAGUGUUAGUUCAUCCAGACAGCAGGACGGUGGCCAUGGAAGUCGGAAUCCG